GUCCUCCUUCAGUUGUGUCGUUUGUUUUCCGUGAAGUGGAUGGGCAUUUUGGUCUUUUUACGUGGUCUUCUUCUAAUCCAUCUCCUACGCCGUCUCCGGCCUGUCGGCCCUGCUUUCUUUCUUCUGCUACACUGAGUUCACCGUUGAUAUACCAGUUGCAGAUUCUGAAAUUAUUCCUUUGCAUGGUGAGAAGAGGGUGGUCCUGCGGUAAGGACGAUUUUCUCCAUGAGGUCUGUGUUCACGCAUCCAGGCUUGAUGAUGUCAGCCCAUCGCCUUCCCUCAGCCUAGUCGAUGAGUAUCAACUCGAUGACGAAGAAAAUACCCGCAGACCCCAACAUCGCCCAUCUGCAGUGCACAAUCUCCGCCUGCUGGUUCCAUUUCAAGCUCUCGGGAUCAGAUGUUGUCAAUAUAAUGAUCGAUCGAGGAUGGAGAACGUCAGAUCUAUCUCUAUUUUGGAGCCCGGAUUAAUUCAGAAACUACUCGGCUAGAUUUGACUUACCAAGACCGAGGGGAUCAAAACCAAAGUCUCCAGGGAGGCUGCCAUCGAGCCAUGGAGGAGGGGUGCUGCUCGGGAACCAGAGGGGUCGGUUGGGAUCAGUCGUAGCACAAACAGUAAAAGAUCGGGACGUGGCAGGGGUUGAGUACUUGCUCACCCUCAGUUUUCUCCCCGAGAGGAAAGACACCUUUGUCUGGGAACUGCACAGGGACGAAAAUGCAGCGGCCGCAAUGGUGGACGAAGCAGCGCAGGCAGAAGCCAUGUCGACAGAUUUCUGUACAAUGCAAUUGCAGGGUGUGAUUGUUGUGUUGUGUGUGGAAAGAAAUGAGAAAGGCUUAAACACUGAGAAGAUGAUAUUGAAUAGAAGGGGCUUAUCCUCAUGGAUAGGGAGGUGAAUAUGUGAUUGGGUUUCUGAAUUGCCAUGUGGCAUGCAGAAUCAGGGAUGGGGUCUGUGUUCACACAUCCAGGCUUGAUGAUGUCAGCCCACCGCCUUCCCUCAGCCCAGCCGAUGAGUAUCAACUCGAUGACGAAUAGCGUUGUUGUAUCAGUGAAGUACUCUUGCUGAGACAACUACGUGAAUGCGCUGAGACAUACUCCGGCGUGGCUGAGGGAUCGGGUUUUCAGCUGGUCCUUGUACCAGGUGGAGCUCUCCGCCAAGUCGCAGCCACUCAGCCAGCACGAGAUGGAGAAGAAUCUUAACUGGUGGGAUCGUAUUUGGUUUGGCAUGGGCGCCGUUAUCGGCGCCGGAAUUUUCAUCCUCACCGGCCAGGAGGCUAACCAACACGCCGGCCUUGCUGUCGUCCUCUCCUACGUUGUCUCUGGCCUCUCGGCCGUGCUUCUGUCUUCUGCUACACUGAGUUUUCCGUGGAGAUACCAGUCUCCGGAAUAUUCUAAGUAAAAGGCCAUUGACUACAAGGGAUUAGAAGAAGACCACGUAAAAAGACCAAAAUGCCCAUCCACUUCACGGUCAACAAACGACACAACUGACGGAGGACCAAAAGUGUCCGACGUCCAAAAAGCGUGGCUAGAAUCUGACCAUUUUUAUUAUGGAGGACUAAAUCUGUCAAAUGCCUAAUAAGUCUAGGACCAAAAGUGGAAUUAACUCUGAUAAUUAAAUAAAAUGUAAAUUCCAAUUUUAAUCAUUGACCAUUGCAACAUUGUUAUA